AUGAACGCUGGCGGUGUGCCUUAAGCAUGCAAGUCGAACGAUUCUUACCAAAGUGGUGAGAGUAGUGGCGGACGGGUGAGUAUAAGCAGGGAACGUACCUUGAACUAUCGCAUAGCUCGUCGAAAGACGGGGUAAUACGGUAUGUGAUCGCAAGAUUAAAGUCGCAAGACGGUUCUAGAGCGGCCCUGUUCCCAUCAGCUUGUUGGUAGGGUAAUGGCCUACCAAGGCUACGACGGGUAGGGGGUGUGAGAGCACGACCCCCCACAAUGGCACUGAGACACGGGCCAUACAUCUACGGAUGGCAGCAACUGGGAAUAUUCGGCAAUGGGCGAAAGCCUGACCGAGCGACACCGCGUGAGGGAUGAAGUAUUUCGGUAUGUAAACCUCUUUUAUAUAGUCGUCGAGGCUAUAAGAAUAAGCACCUACAAACUACGU
rnacentral:rRNA from 1 species